CUCAUUUCCCUCUCCUAGUGGAGUUACACGCGCCCCACUUACAUCGCCGGGAGCAAAAAAUUUUUUCGUGCCUACGGAAACAGCCGGCUGCUGCCAUCUACUGAACGUCUACCACUUUAUCAAUAAAAUUUUUGACGAUAACAUCAUAGAUCGUUGCUUUAUUUAUAUGUACGUCAGUGUUUUCGUGUCUCGUUGUUUGUGAUAUUUUAAGUAAACAGUGUACUUGCAAUAAUAAAAUGACUGAAAAAGUAUCAUCUGAUGACUCUAUGGACGAGGAUGAGGAGAUAAAAGAUUUUGAUGCAGAGGCGAGGUUGCAGUGUAUUACAAAUUCUCAAUGCCAUAAGGGAAACUGGAACAAAAUACGACCAUUUGAAAGAAAAAAUUCUUGUUAAAAAAUGUUCACUUACCGUAAAUAGAAGAGGAUGGACUACUGAGCUGUCCCAACAUUUCAACUGAAAAUAAAAAAGAGGAAAACUGGACAUUCCAGAAUUUUCAAGUAUUUUUUUUUGUUAUCGAUGUCGUCAAUCAUCAAUUUCUAACGAUCUCAACAAUUAAAAUCUUUGAUUUAAAUAUAAUGCAGGAUUGCGUCGAAAUUUAAGGCAUACUUUGAACCUAAACAAGCAUUGAAAAUCUACAUAGGACUUUUUAGGACAUAAUUAUUGUAAAAGCUUGAAAUGGAUCUACUUAGACAGAGACCUUAAUUAAACCUACUUUGACUUAUGGGGGCAUGAAUUAGAUCUGCAUAGACAAAAAUCGUGAAACAAACGUAACCACACGGAUAGAAAUGUCAAUUAAAUUUGCCUAUACAGCAUAGUAAUAAUAACAUUACUCUAUAACUUGUAUAAGGAGUCUCAUAAGAGCGGCGUAACACAAUCUAUAGAGUAAUGUUAUUAUUACUAUGCUGCAUAGGCAUAGUUACUUGACAUUUCUAUUCGUGUAGACGUAACAGAGGAAAAGACUUGCAAUGAAUACAACAAAAAGUUAAAAUUCGUGGACUAUAGAAGAAUUGAUGCAAGUGAUCCAGUCAUCUCUCCAAUGCACGGAUCGAUCUCAUUGUGCUUCGCAUUAUGAGUCGUGCAAAAGAACUGAUUCUGCAACAGGACUUGGUUCUGUUAUAGCUACAGGACUUGCCCUGUAGUUGCAACAGAAAAACCUUGUAGUAUUUACAAGAUCAGUCCUGUUGCAGCCAGAGUUCUAUUCCUGUUGCAACCACGGAUCCAUUCUUGUUGCAGCCACAGGAAUAGUCUUGAAUUCGUAAUAAGUAUAAUAAUGUAAAUUACUGCAGUUGUCGGUCUAAUUCAUGCUUUUGUAAGUCUAAGUUUUUCAUUUCUAGCUUUUAUAAUGAUUAUGUCCUAAAAAGUCUAAUGUAGGUUUUCAUUGAUCAUUUAGGUCAAAAUACGCCUUAAAUUUCAACUCGGAUGAUGUCACCGAGAACUGAAAUGAAUUAUUUUAGACUUCUUUGCAUAUUAUAAGAAUGUGAAGACAUACAUUAUUUCAAUAACUUUUUACAAAAAAUUUCCGUUGACUAUUGAACACAUCCCAGCACUUUGUAUCAAAAAAAUGAAUCACAAUUUCUCUAAAAGCUCGUGUUAUUUUUUGCAACAAUUUUGUCGAAAUUUCGCAAAACCAACACUCUCUAAAUAAGUUUUCGGUUCACAGACUUAUAAAAUUAUUAUAUAAACUAUAAGCAGUAUUAAUUGAAGGAUGAAAAUAAUUAUAAAAGUUAAAUAAAAUAAAUGAGUUGAUAAAUUUGUCAUUCAGAGUCUUGAUUCUGUAAGAUAUAGGAUUCAGAACGUCUACGAGAAAAUAGAUCAAUUAAGAAAAGGAUCAAAUAAAUAUAUCUAUACAUAUAUAGUGUUAUUCAGAAGCAGAUUGUGAACAAAGACGUUGGUUUUCUUGUCGCACAGACUGAGAAUCCCAAUCUCCUUGCAACCCCAACCAACUGCUAUACGUACAGAAGUAUAGAAGGCGAGUAAGAGUAGACUAUCUCCAACCCAAGUUAUUCUCUCUGACUUCCAUUCACUACUACAACAUUUCGCGAUCCACUUCUCGUCCAACCGAGUAAAUGUUUAAAUUCAAGACAAGUUAAUUAAAACUGAGUGUAAUUAUAGCCGUAGUCUUGCUAGGAAAACCAACAUAACCAACUAAAUAUCAUGCUCUAUGUAUUACCCAUUG